UGGCUCAGAACGAACGCUGGCGGCGUGCCUAACACAUGCAAGUCGAACGAGAAAGUCCGCAAGGAUGAGUACAGUGGCGACCGGGUGAGUAACACGUGACUAACCUACCCUCGAGUGGGGAAUAACUCCGGGAAACCGGAGCUAAUACCGCAUAACAUCGCAAGAUCAAAGCAGCAAUGCGCUUGAGGAGGGGGUCGCGGCUGAUUAGCUAGUUGGUAGGGUAACGGCCUACCAAGGCGAAGGUCAGUAUCCGGCCUGAGAGGGCGCACGGACACACUGGAACUGAUACUCGGUCCAGACGACUACGGGAGGCAGC
rnacentral:rRNA from 1 species